rnacentral:rRNA from 1 species
GAUGAACGCUGGCGGCGUGCCUAAUACAUGCAAGUCGAGCGAACGGACGAGGAGCUUGCUCCUCUGAUGUUAGCGGCGGACGGGUGAGUAACACGUGGAUAACCUACCUAUAAGACUGGGAUAACUUCGGGAAACCGGAGCUAAUACCGGAUAAUAUUUUGAACCGCAUGGUUCAAAAGUGAAAGACGGUUUUGCUGUCACUUAUAGAUGGAUCCGCGCUGCAUUAGCUAGUUGGUAAGGUAACGGCUUACCAAGGCAACGAUGCGUAGCCGACCUGAGAGGUGAAUCGGCCAAAUGGGAAUGAGGACACGGUCCAAACUCCAACGGGAGGCAGCAGUGGGAAAUCUUCCGCAAUGGGCGAAGGCCGGAGGGAGCAACGCCCGUGAGUGAUGAAGGUCUUCGGAUCGUAAAACUCUGUUAUUAGGGAAGAACAAAUGUGUAAGUAACUGUGCACAUCUUGACGGUACCUAAUCAGAAAGCCACGGCUAACUACGUG